UUCGUACUUCUCGCGGGAUCUCAGGGCAUCAGGAUUGAAGAUUAAAUGAUGCCCGCCCUAAUCCUUGAGCGCCAGGGACCUGAGAUGCUGGGUCUGCGGUUGUAACUUGCUCAAGCUUGAUGCUAUCGACAGAGAAACAAGUGAAGCAGGUCAUAUCAGAAUUUGAAUUGCAGAAACAACUGGAGAUAAGAGGCAGGGCCCCAAAAAGAUCCUGUAGAAGGUCCCAAAACGGAACCGACCCACCCCUCAGGGAGCCAGGGCUGGAGAGGAGCUAUCACAACACCCAGAAGAUCAGCGAGGAGGCUCCUGUGGUUAUCAUCAGGCAA